GACGAACGCUGGCGGCGUGCUUAACACAUGCAAGUCGAGCGAUGAAGCUCCUUCGGGAGUGGAUUAGCGGCGGACGGGUGAGUAACACGUGGGUAACCUGCCUCAUAGAGGGGAAUAGCCUUUCGAAAGGAAGAUUAAUACCGCAUAAGAUUGUAGUAUCGCAUGAUAUAGCAAUUAAAGGAGUAAUCCGCUAUGAGAUGGACCCGCGUCGCAUUAGCUAGUUGGUGAGGUAAUGGCUCACCAAGGCGACGAUGCGUAGCCGACCUGAGAGGGUGAUCGGCCACAUUGGGACUGAGACACGGCCCAGACUCCUACGGGAGGCAGCAGUGGGGAAUAUUGCACAAUGGGGGAAACCCUGAUGCAGCAACGCCGCGUGAGUGAUGACGGUCUUCGGAUUGUAAAGCUCUGUCUUCAGGGACGAUAAUGACGGUACCUGAGGAGGAAGCCACGGCUAACUACGUGCCAGCCGCCGCAGUAAGAC
rnacentral:rRNA from 1 species